CCGCCUACGGGACGCAGCAGUGAGGAAUAUUGGUCAAUGGCCGGAAGGCUGAACCAGCCAAGCCGCGUGAAGGACGAAGGUGCCAAGCAUUGUAAACUUCUUUUGUCAAGGGACAAAAUCAGGCUCGAGAGCCUGACCGAGGGUACUUGAAGAAAAAGCAUCGGCUAACUCCGUGCCAGCAGCCGCGGUAAUACGUAGGGGGCAAGCGUUAUCCGGAAUUACUGGGUGUAAAGGGAGCGUAGACGGCUGUGCAAGUCUGGAGUGAAAGGCGGGGGCCCAACCCCCGGACUGCUCUG
rnacentral:rRNA from 1 species